GGCUACAGGGGUCGUCUUGCCAAUUUCUAGGAAGGGAUUGUUUUGGUGGUCUUGGUCAAAAAGGUUAGAAUCAAAAGAAGUACAGUUGCCUCCUCUAAGAUAAGCCAUCUACCACAAGAUUACGCGUCUCCUUUGGGGCAAGAGAAGAAGUAAAGCUUUAUUUAAAGUCCCAAGUGCUUGUGCUUGAAGAGGAGAAACACCAAUCACCAUAAAUCAUUGAGACUCUCAUUUUUGUUCUGAGAUAUAUUUGGUUUGAUAGCUCUAGGCUGAGGUGUGAAGGUGAUCCUUGAAUUGUACUGUCUUUCGAGACUCAAACACAACUUGAUCUACUUCAAGGCGACUUCUUCUCAAACACCCAUCACAGUAAUUUCAUCUCUGCAUUGCUCCUCGAGAACAAUUCGAGAGUAUCAUCUACCGAUUAGUCCACACUCGCUCUUUAUCCCUCUUGAAAGUUCUCGCCCAGGCUUGUUUACGGUCUCCUCUCUCUCCGAUCCCGUGCCUCUCUUCGCAUCUCAGCUCGCUUGUGGAUGUGGGGGUGGUUGUUGAAUAGCAGAGGAGGGACUUCUAUUCUCUCUUUUGGAGUCGCUGUUGCCUAUUGACGAGGGAAUUAACGAACACGUUAUUCGGAGCCAACAAGCAUUUGCAGAAAAGCAUUCUAAAAGCGCCUUUCGUUGUUCAACAAUCCUUUUAAGCAGCCAAAAAGGAUCUUUCUUUUCAACUUUCCCCUUAGAUCACCA